CAAUGUCUAAUGCCCUCCCUACAUUAGAUUGAUGAUGCUGUUAUUGUCAAAUUAGAUGAAGACGUUGUCCUUGUUCCCUGAGCUACCUGAGGCUGACAGGAUUAGAUUCAAAACACAGUAUCAAGAAAUAUUAGUGGGUGAUUAUGAGGUUGACAGCCUUGAGAGGUUGGUAUUACCAUCUUCUAUUGAGAGGGAAAGGAGGAAGAGUAAUUUUGAACAUUAUAAGGAUACCACACUCUCAGCCUUGUUUCUGGAGCUAAUGGUUAGAGUUUUUGAGUAAGUUACGUAGGAUGAUAAAGAUAAUUGAAGAACCACUCCAGGGUAGGAUAGGUUUACUGAGGUCUGGUUUAUAUGAUGUCCUCCCUACUACUAUUGGAAGGUUUGGCUCCUGAGGAUUUGAGGCUUUUGCUCUGUGGGUGUCAGCAGGUUGAACUUGAUGUACUCAAAUAGAUAACAACUUUCACCGACGAGACUCGUAGAUGUAUUCAGAAGAUAUUGAAAGUGUGGCCACAGACCAGUGUCCCACCCCCUCAGAUUCACUACUUGAUGUUAUCACCAAUCCCAGUACAGAUUGGACUCAAUAGGUCAAUGGAAAUGAAAGAGAGGGACAGAAUGGGGACAUCAAAUUCAGUGAGUAGUGAACAAUA